GUUAAAUGCUCCACCCAUGGCUUGUACUCGGAGGGGAUCCUGAUUCCCAAUCCGGUCUUUUGCCUGAGAAGAUGGAACCUUUGAUCUGAGGACGUGUCAGAAGUGAUGGAAAUGCUAGUUCAGAAGCCAUCACCUCUGUCGUGUAGCACAGCCUUGCCUCAUUAUCCCCCACCACGAUGCCCUUGGCCUUCUAGAAGAAUUAACUCUACAACUGUGGUCCCUCUAGAAUAAGCCUGAUCUUCCGGAAAGAGUAUUUAUUUCAUCAAGGCCGUCGCGCUUGAGGCUGCCAAGGCUGGUAAUCAGACUUGUGAAGGGCAGCCCACCCAGAGCUGAGUGGCUGCAUUUUUAUCCCAUCAGAAACAAGCCAGCACUCGGCCUCACUCCAGGAUUAGGUGCUAUUUCACGUAUCGGGCUGUUUGCCAGACAAAGAAGUUGGAGGAUGUGUUUGCCCUUUCCGAGAUGGCUAAAUGGGAUGCUGCUAUUAACCUCUGAGUAAAUGGUUUCUCUGUGAUCCUAUCUGGAAAACAUGGAAUACAUGGAAUUCAGUCAUCUACUCAGGACUUUUUCGUCCAAGUGCUGACCAUCGCUGGUUGGUGGCCUUCGACUUUGGAAGCUCCAGUUGUCUACCUGGUUAGUACCUUAAGCCUUAGCAGUAACCUCUGUCUCAUUCUUUAACAUUUCUUGAGUAGUUUCUAUGUGCCAAUCACUGCUAUGUACUAAUGGUAUAUGUUCUACAUUUAGAGAAGACCAAGGCUGUCUUAAAUACGUAUAUUAUUAGCAAGAAGAGUCACAAGCGUUAAAGUCUAAGAUGAAGAACACUACAAUGUUCUAUUUCUAUAAACAUAUACAUGUAUGCAUACAUGAAUAGGCAAAGUUCUAGGAAGUUCUAGGAAGAGGCGUAGCAAGAUGGUGGGUACUUUCAGGGAAGGUACGGGCAUUAUGCUUGGGAUGGGGGUUAAAUAACGUUUUAACUUUUUAAAUGAUAAUCUAAUGUCUGUAGCUGGUAUAAUCAGACCAAAAAAUUGUAACCCCAGGUUUUUGUUUGUUUUAGAUAUAAAUGUCUGUUAUACUUUGAAUACAGCAUAUGCUGAAUUUGGGCUAAGUCUGGGUUUUUACCUGAAAAUACAAAUUCAAAGAAAGAGCUAGGAAAUUAAAAUCCAUUCUUUCUAGUCACCAAUGAAUUUACUAAAUGAGACAACAUGGCUCUUAACAAAUUGGGACCAUGUAAGUCAUAUUUCUAUGCCUCGGUUUCCUCAUCUGUAAAACAGGUACAAAGGUCAUGUGCCUUAGCACACAAUACAGGCUCUGCGAAAUGUGGCCCCUUGUAAUUGCUCCCAAUUCUGCAUUCUGAGCUAGCAGCCUCUCACCCCCCAACAAGCUGUAGCCUGAAUAUACUCACCAUUCGCAAAAGCUAAACCCUGGUUUUUGGCUCAUCCAGUUCCUUCUGCCUGGAAUGCCUUCUCGGUCUUCUCUGCCAAGACAGCUUCUACUUAUGUUCAAAGUCCAGCUCUGAUGGUACUUUGCAUGUGGAACCUUCUCAGUUUCCACUGCCCAGAUGCAAUACUUGGACAGAUAUCUCUUGGAAAAGAGCUUUCUAGAUUGUUCUGGACCAGCUGUGCCACACACGAGGCCAGGCGCCUCAUCUCUUGCACUGUAUCCCUAGCACCAGCACAGAGCACAUCGCUGGUAUCCGACGAAUGUCCACCAAGCAGAUUGUUAGCGUGGGAGAUUUUCUGUGUUUGCUAAAUUGCGAGUGCGUGGAGAGCAUCCGAAUUUGCCCAGCACUGAGCACAGAGCUCAUCAGGUAUUUGUUGAACGUGUUCAUUCAAUAAAUGCCUGGAUCUACGCCCAGUGUGCUUUCCGGGGAGAAAUAAUUCACAGGUAAUUCUUCAGCCAGAAUGAGUCAUACCCAAUAUACAUUAGUACUAUGUAUAUAUAGCACCAUACUUUUCACCGUUUCUGAUGACAGAAUGGUAAGUCAACGUCCCCAGGUCUCACCGUGUCAUCUGUAACGAGGUUCAUAAGGGCACUAACAGAACUGAUUGCUAGAAAGGUAAACGCGUGCCUUUCCGGAGGGCAAUCUGAAAUAUUAAAUUAUAUAUAACUUUGACUCAGGGAAAAUAUGCCAAAUCAUGCAGAUAAAGAGGUUUACACUAUUGUUUUUAAAUAAGAGAAAAACUGGAAAUGACCAACCCCCUAUUGAUGAUCAUUUAGGUUAAUUAUGCUAGACCCCUGUAAUGGAAUACUAGACAUUUCCCUAAAAAGAUGGAGUCCCAUUUUUAGGGCAUAACUGGGAGAAAGUAGGCUCCAAUUAUGAAAAAUAAAUGUAAUAUAUGUACAUUAUAUUUCUUGAGGGAUUAAAAAGGGAAACCAUACAGGAAUUGCCUACAGACAGCCCCAAAUUUUAAAUGAUAGUUUCCCCUUAUUUUAAGGUUUUCUCCGUAAUGAACAUGUCAAGGCUUUGUUCUAAAAAUCAUUUCAAAAUUAGGAGAGUUUCCUGUGAUCGCCUGCUCCAAAGUGACCUUUUAUGUGCAGAAGUGAAGUUCACUUUAAUAAACUCUGUAACCUUGAUCAAAGUAUUGUAAUGUUCACAUCCCUGAGGAAAAAGUCUGUCUUCUGCACAGUCAAAACAGAAGAGAAACAAAUCAAUCUUGCUAUCCCUUAAAAGAUGCAGGUAUUUGAUACAAACUUGAGUCUGAGUAGAGUAUAAACAGUUAUGGUCAAUUUGCGUUUGCAAUGUUAAGAGUAGCCAGGAUUAUAAUUCUUCUUAACUGCCUCCUUUGCUGUUAGGCUCCAAACAAAAUAUGGUAAACUGUGUUCACCGUUGAGAGUGGAUUUUUUUUUUUCUGACAAAGACCCAUGUUUAUAAAUGUUUAAAUCCUUCAGGUUGUCUGUAUGUUAGAGCUGCCCUCCCAAGUGGAUGGAGUGGAAAAAUGGAAUUUGUUAUGGAGGAAUUUUAGUAUACCCAUCUCUGUAUAUCUGCUGUAUAGAAUGCAUGAUGGUAUGGUCUGAAGAGCUAAGAAAAGAACUGGGAUCUUAAAAAGGAAAAAUUGCCACUUCAAACAUAUCCUAUCUAAAUACAUUCACUUUUUUAUAUUGGUCUGUAAUAAAAUUUAGACUUCUUUCCAGAUGAAAGCAAUUGUUCUUUUAAUCCCCAAUACGUGACCUUCUCCAUUAGUAUUUUGCUUUCCUAGGCGAGUCCUCAUGCAGUAUGGCCAACACAAAGCUAAACGUCAGUGUCGUAAAGAUCCCCAAGUGUUUAUCUUUAGAUAUGGGAUGUUUAUACAGCCUUUCCAAGCUUUGGGCUUCUUCCCAUGGUACGAAUCUCUGGAAUCCUCAAACACUAGUUUGGCUGUUCGAUUUUUCAGGCUCCAUGAAACUUCCAUUCCUGUUCCUUUCUAGAAAGUUCACAGUAUCAUGAUGCUUUUAAUAGGCUCCAUUGGGAGUCAAGGAAAAAAACAACUUGGGUUAAAUAUUCACUUUCACAGAGCUAAGAGUCUAGGUAGGAGUUUGGUUAUUACAGAGUCCUGGAAAUUGGUUGCAUGUCCUAUAGAUGGACUAUAGUAGUUGGGUUUGUUUUUCUACAUGACCAAAUGAAUUUUGUUGAAUACACACGUAUUGUAAUAAGUUGUAGAAAUAAUACAACUUACUACGUAAAAUCUGGCCUACCUCAUUAUUUGUAAGGUACCUUGUUGCCCUAUUUUUAAAAACUACAUGGAAGGUUUGAGGACUGAAAAGAAUUCUGUUGAGUAUGUUUGGGGACAACCAUAUGCUCCUUUAGUUGGCUGUUCUUAAAAGACCUACUAGUCCCACAAGAGGAUACAUGUUUGUUCACUAACAUUAAGGAUAAAAUAUUUCAGGGUACCUGGGUGGCUCAGUCGGUUAAGCGUCCAACUCUUGGCUUCAGCUCAGGUCAUAAUCUCAUGGUUUGUGGGUUUAAGUCCCGUGCUGGGCUCUGUGCUGGGAGCACGGAGCCUGCUUGUGAUUCUGUGUCUCUCCCUCUCUGCCCCUCCCCUGCUUGUGCUCUCUCUAAAUAAACUUAAAAAAAAUGAUAAAGUAUUUCUAUUUGGUGAGCCAUUUUUAAUUUUGUUUUCUUUCUAGCAGAGUUACUUUCGGUGAAAUAAUUUCUAAGGCCAUUUAUAUAAAAAAUUGUAGUCAAUUUUAAGAAAAUGUUCUACUGUAUUUGAUGGCCUGUUUAAUAGAGUCUAAGACCAGUUAAAAGAACAAGUGGUCUUGAAAGAGAGGGUCCAGGGACGCCUGGGUGGCUUAGUAGGUUGAGUGUCUGACUUUGGCUCAAGUCACGAUGUCAACACUCGUGGAUUUGAACCCCACAUCGGGCUCUGUGCUAACAGCUCAGAGCCUGGAGCCUGUUUUUGGAUUCUGUAUCUCCUUCUGUCUCCACCCCUCCCCAGACCCCCUCCCCCUCUCUCUCUCAAAAAAAAAAAAAAAAAAAUAAGAGGGUUCAACAGAAUGAGUAUUGUCCUGGGAUAGGUUUUCUAUCACAGCUGCCUUAACGCUUCUGUCAACUAGCUAUGUGACCCCAGCUAAAGUAACCUCAGUACCCUUCUGAAAAUGAGGGGAGAGGGGGAGGGAAUUCUUUAAAUCUCUUGCGUUUUGGCUUUCCUAAACCUUUUUCCUGAAGGAGAGGCAAGGUUGGAGAGAAGAUCACAUGCCACAGCCCCAGAGAGAUGUCCGUAGCCAGCAUCUCUAAGGGUUUGCCCAGUUCCAUCUAGUACUUUUUGGAUAGUCCUUUACAGGGAAUACCUUCCACUGGUAGAUUUUAGUUUUUCUUUUUUACUGUAAAUGUUUUGUGAUCUAUUUCCAAGUCUUCCCUGCAAGCAAGUAACUGUACUACCGACUAGAUUUUAAUUCUUGGGAGGGAGAGCAAGAGAACUUUGCAGUAAACUUAGUCUAUUACCAGCUGGUAAAUGGGAGAUAAAGUGUAGCCAGCCCUCUAUUUCCUAGACUUCCGUGUUUGUCAUCAAAGAAGUAUGGAGGUAUGUCACGUCAGACAUGGCUAUGAAUCAAACAGCUAACCUUUAAAAACAAAAACCACGUAAUUUAUAUGAACAUGAAGAAAACCGUCUUCAAAAUCCUGUGCAUUCUGAUUAAUACGUUUAAUUAGAGGCUGUGAUAACUUGUUUUGUGUCAAAGUUUGUUCAGUUAGCGGGCUGAGUCAGACAGGUUGGUAGGGCACAAGGAGCCCUCUAGAAGGGCCACGCAGAGCAUUUAACAAGUAAAGCUAAAGAUUAUAUGUAGUUUCAAGCUCUUUCCCAGAAGAGAAAAGCUAGAUGCUGAUAGAUGAGCAGGUGUUAAGAGAAGUCAUCCUUCAUCUGCUUUAUGUUGGAGGGAGAGGGAAAAAAAUGCUCACGCGCUCUCUUGCUCUCUCUCGCGCGCGCGCGCGCGCGCUCUCGCUCUCUCUCUCUCUCUCUCUCUCAAGAGAAGAAACAGAACGUUGAGGGAAGGAAGCAGGAGAGAACAAAUGAAGCAGUCUUCUGGUAAAUUGUAAGCAGGCAUCUCUGUUCCUAAAAGCUUUAAUGCUUAUAAUGGAAAGAGCCUGUGAAAACUUUGGUCACCAAAGUUUGUCACUUCUCUGAAGCGGGAGAUUCAGGGCUGGCAAAGAACUUUCAGUGAGGAACAUAAAGUGAUGGAAAAAACCUUCUGUUCAGGUUUAUUUUGCGGGGGGUGGGGGGGAUUGUUGGCAAGGGAGGAAGAAGAAUGGGUAUGUAUGUGUGAGGGUUUGCACACAGGAGGGUUUGAUUCAACUAGUUUGUUGAAUGGCUAAGGAUUACUGAGGAACCUAAGAAUUGUAGCUGUCUUUAAAUAAACUUUGCAUAAGUCUUAAAUAUACAUAAAUACAUAAACCUUUAUGUUGUAUAAAUAUGUUUUAUGAACACACAAAAAUGUUUUCAAAUGUGUUAAGGCUUUCUGCGUAGCCACUUAGCAGUCGCUUUUUCUAUACAAAAGCCUAAUUGAAUGCAAGGCAAAGCUGUCCUUCAUUUUGGCUCAGGAAGCUCUGCCUGGGAAUUGUAGCUGUCGCCUGUCUGCGAGGCCAUGACCUUCAUUUGGGAGUGGUGCACUCCAAUUUAUGGCCCUGUGGCUUGGAAAAUAUCAACAAUCUUGUAAACAAACAUCCAUGGCCAAGGAAAGGCGAGAGUGUCCAAAUGCGGGGGGAAGAACCAGAUUUGAGAGGAAAGAGCAGGGACCUUGCUUGGGGGGGGGGAGGGAAGAGUUUUUCCGGCGGAGACUUUUUCCAGAGAAAGGAGGGGAUUUUCAAUAGCUGCUAUAGGGUGUCAGUUACAGAGAGCGGGAGGGAUGGGAGAAAAGGAUUUCUUUUGUCCUAUGCAUGUACUCAAUUCCCAGUGGACAUUUUCCCCCUCUAAAUAUGGAGUUAAAGACUUGCAUUGUUCUCAAUUACAUUUUUAGAGGGGCCAACCCACAUGGUGAGCCGGUUUCAUGUUGCAGCGGAAAACAUUUUCAUUCAGGGAUGGUCCGAGGACUGUCUGAUUUGCAACAAUUGGGAGUCGAUUUAUGGAAUACGUAAGUGCACCAAUAUUUAGCAUGUUUCACUCUGUGCUAAGUUCUAUAAAGGCUAUAGAAGUGGCUGAACAUAUGUUCUGUGUCCUCACGGAACUUGCUAUCUGGUUAGAUAAGGCUUAUCAGCGAACGGGCAGUGUAAGAGGACAUUUCAGAGAAAGUGUUUUCAGCCAGGCCAGAGAAGAGAAGGACUUUGGCUGAAGGGAGGUUUUCCUCACGGAAAAAUCAGAUUUGGCGGACCGACAACAAUGGGACUUUCAAGAAAGCCAGCGCUCACUCUAGGAGCCACUAGAAAGAAGUAGGGGAGAUGUAACAUACAUGGGGUGAUUGACCAGAAGUAGGUCCUGAAGGAUUUCAGGAAUACCUUUCUCUUCUCGUAGCCCUUUCCCAUGUGAGUGACCGUGGGAGGCAGAUCAGGUAUAGUCAUUAGCAUUUCACAGCUGCAGGAAAUAAGGACAUGAAAUUCAGAGAGGCUGUGAAUCGUGAGAAGUCACGUAGGGGACACGCCAGAAUUUAGUCCACUGUCCCCAUGCUGUGGGACAGAGAGGGGACUGUUGUAGCAGUCAAGGGAGGGUUUGGACUCCGCGAGUGUCCCAGAGAUCCUAAAGGGGAUGUUGGUUCAGCUGUUUCACAGAGACCAAGGUCCUAGUGACAUCACAGGAGAGGUUUGCUUUUCUAUCUGGUACAAGUUCAAGCUGGCAGGUAGCCCACGGGAGCCAGGCAUAGACAGAUGUACUGCACAUGGUCAUUGUGUCUCCCCUAAGUCCCAGGAGGCUGGUCUACAUGGGCAGCAUCAGUCUGAUAUCUUGGUUUCGCAAACAGGAAGCACUAACGAGAGGCUGGCUGUGACUGGGGAGGGCGGCAUCAGGUGUUUAUGCCCCAACAUCCUCUGCAAGGCGGUCAUGACUGGCUGUCUCCCUUUACCAAGGGUCAUGGGGCCUGGUGAGCGGCCUUCCUACACACGCUCUCUGAUUCCCAGUUGUUACUGUCUUUCCUCACCCACGGCCAAGUGUGGUGAUGACCCCCGUCUCAUGCUGUCCUUUUAUAGUUUUCCUCCACUCUGACCACAUCUUUGUCCACCAUUCCCUGAUGAAACGGUACCCGCUUGUACCCUCUGCAUCAUGCCGGAACCCUGACUGCUAGUCAAUUAGGGACUUAAGUUUCUUUUGCUUUUUUUUUCCACCAGUAUGAUCCUCAUCUACAGGGUUAUACCUGGCUCACCAUAUUCCAACCCACUUGAAGGGGAAAAAGAAAUGGAGACUGUAUUAGUUUCCUGUUGCUGCUAGAACCAGUUACCACAAACACAGUAGCUUAAAAGGGCAUGUUUAGCUUACAUUUUUGUAGGUUAGACGUCUGGUACACAUCUCAGUGGGCUAAAAUCAAAGUGUGGCGUGCAUAGCUGUGCUCUUUUCUGGAGGCAGUGAAGAAGAAUCCCUUUCCUUGCUUUUUCCAGCUUCUAAGGUCCACUUACGUUCACCGUGGCGCCUGUCCUCUAUCUUGAAGGACAGCAACAUCAGCCCAAACCCUCCUGAUGCUGACAUCUCACCGAAUCCCUCUUCCGCCUCCCUCUUCCACUUUUAAGGACUCUUACGAUUACAUUGGACCCACCUGGAUAAUCCAGGCUAAUUGCCAGAUUUCAGGGUCAGCUGUCAGUACCACAACUCCAUCUGCAGCCCUAAUUUCCCUCUGCCAUAUGAUGUAACAGUUACGGGCUAAGGAGAUUAGGACGCGGACACCUUUUGAGGGCCACUAUUCUGCCUACCGCAGCGGGUGAACAACUUCCUUUUAAGGUUGUGUCCUUGAGGUUGCAUACAACACCCUCCCCUACUAUCCUCCUGGCCAGAAUUCAGUCACGUGGUCACACUGAACUGCAAGGGAGGUUGAGAAGUACGGUUUCUCGAACUAGGCAGCCGUGGACCCAGUUAAAACGUGGAGGAGUCCUAUUACCCAAAGAAAGAAGGGAGAGAAGGGAUAUUGAAUAGCAAUUUCUAGCCUGUUCCCCCUUGGGCUUGUUUGUUCUUGGCAAGAUCUGCUUUUGGUUUCCCCUCACUUCCUUUUGCAUCUUGGUGCUUUGGGCUAAUUGCAAGUAACUAUUGGCCCUGAGCUGCCCUUCACCUGAGAUCGGUUUCUAAUUUAGGAGAAGAUAGAGUGGUUUCCUUAAUGGACCACAGCAGCUGCCUCGUGUCUGUGUCCUGAUCUUCCAUAAUGAUUUUUUUUAAUUUUUUUAAUUUAAUUUUUUAUUUUUUAAAAUUUACAUCCAAAUUAGUUAGCAUAUACUGAAAUAAUGAUUUCAGGAGUAGAUUCCUCAGUGCCCCUUGCCCAUGUAGCCCAACCCCCUCCCACAACCCCUCCAGCAACCCUCAGUUUGGUCUCCAUAUUUAUGAGUCUCUUCUGUUUUGUCCUCCUCCCUGUUUUUAUAUUAUUUUUGUUUCCCUUCCCUUAUGUUCAUCUGUUUUGUCUCUUAAAGCCUUCAUAUGAGUGAAGUCAUAUGAUUUGUGUCUUUCUCUAAUUUCACUUAACAUAAUACCCUCCGGUUCCAUCCACGUAGUUGCAAAUGGCAAGAUUUCAUUCUUUUGGAUUGGCGAGUAAUACUCCAUUGUAUAUAUAUACCACAUCUUCUUUAUCCAUUCAUCCAUCAAUGGACAUUUGGGCUCUUUCCAUACUUUGGCUAUUGUUGAUAGUGCUGCUAUAAACAUUGGGUUGCAUGUGUCCCUUUGAAACAGCACACCUGUAUCCCUUGGAUAAAGCCUAGUAGUGAAUUGCUGGGUCGUAGGGUAGUUCUAUUUUUAGUUUUUUGAGGAACUUCCAUACUGUUUUCCAGAGUGGUUGUACCAGAUUGCAUUCCCACUCCGUAAUGAUUUUCUGCUGAGACUAGCUGGUUUACAAAUGUUUCUGACCUCUGACCCACACCGUGUGUGACCUACCCAGUGCACUGUCCACCAUCUUGCUCUCCCUUCCACAUUCAGAAUCUUAGAUCCUGUCUGCUGCCCUGUUAUUGGGUCUUGCCGGUCCCAGUCUCUAUAAGCCCGGCCACUACCUUCGGUCUCAAUCUUGGCUGUCUCCUGACCUUCACUCAACCCCUGCUCUGAGAUGCACAGAAUUCAUCUAGACUUCUCUCUACUGGUCCCUCACACACCUCAAGAGACUUCCCAGUGCUGGGUAGAUGUAGCGUUCACCCAAUUCAAGUUUAGGAAACGGUCAGAAAAAUUGUAACCAAAGCAAAGAAAAUGUAUAUCAUGUUGGGGUGGCUCAGUCAGUUGAGCAUCCGACUUCGGCUCAGAUCAUGAUCUCGCGGUUUGUGAGUUUGAGCCCCACAUCGGGCUCUGCGCUGACAGUGCGGACCCUGCUUGGGAUUCUCUCUCUCUCCUCUCUCUCUGCCCCUCCCCCCCCUCAAACCCCCCCCCAUCUCAAAAUAAAUAAAUAAACUUAAAAAAAAAAAAAGAAAAUGUAUUCAUGCAGGUGCCAGACAGAGCCAUGCCUUCUUCCAUGAAAGCUGAUGGAGCCUUCUCCUAUGCAGUAUACAUGGAUCUAAAACCAACAGAGAAUGAAAGUCUGUGUGACACUGUUCACAGUUACAUCCAAAUGACUCGCAGGCCAAAUGUUACUUCCUAUACCUGACUUUGGGUUCUGGUCUCUAAGGAAGUACGUUCUUACUAGACGACACAAUAGUUGCACCAUUCAAUUGGAAAACACGCCAAUACCCAGCUAUUUCUGGGUCCUCAUGCUAGAGAAUAAACAGGCUAAAAAAGGGGGGAAUUAUGCUUUGGAUUGGGGUACUUGAUCUCAACUCUUAAAGGGCUGCUGUUACACAGUGGCAGCCUAGAGGCGUGUGACUACAAUCUCCACAAUCCAGUCCUGCCACAUCCAAGGGCAAAAUGUAAGAGCACUCUACCCCUGUACUUGAAGGACCUUCAAAGACAGAAUCCUCAGGAAAGGAGGUUUGGGUCACUCUAACUGGCAAAGAGAUGCUUGCUGAAGGCAGAGGGAAUGUGGAAUGAGUAGCAAGGGAAGAAAACCAUCAAUCCUAAUACAUCCUCUUGAGGAGUCACAGAGACGAAGUUUGCAAUCUCAAUCUGUGUUUUUAAAAUUUUUAAUGUUUAGUUUUGAGAGAGAUAGAGCAAGGGAGGGGCAGAGACAGAGGGAGACACAGAAUCCGAAGCAGGCUCCAGGCUCCGAGCUGUAAGCACAGAGCCAGACGCAGGGCUCGAAAUCAUGAACCAAGAGAUCAUGACCUGAGCGGAAGUUGGAUACUUAACCGAUUGAGCCACCCAGGUGCCCCUGGAAGCAUUUGUUUUGGUUUUAGAAUCAAAAGGGGGAUGAAGAAUGCAUCAUGAUAUUAGGAAGAGUGAGAUUAUAAUGGAAAUUUAUAAUUUUUUGAUGCUUGGCAUCCAAAUACUUCCUACCUUGGAAGAUUCCAGAGACUGGUGGAGGCGAAAUCCCCUCCUACUACCCAAGCUAAAGGAGGCGGACAUUCUCUCUUCUCUCUGGUGGCCAGGGCACAUGAAGAGGCUCAAGCUGGACAGUGUUCCCAGGGAUGUUGAGUCAUGAGAGAGUGAUGCAAGAUGCAAGACAGUGGAGAAUUAACUAGAUGGUUAGAGUGUCCAGUAGGGACAGCAUUAGCAUCCUCACCUGGGAUUUCCGGGAGUGUGAUCUCAGAUGCGUUCCCAGAGGCAUAAUUGUCCUUGGUUGCAGUCUCUCCAGCCAUUUCUCCCAUUUUAUGUGCUGUUAGAUUAUGUUUAAAUAAAGCCGUUUCCUGCAUGAUGAGCUCCUGUUAGUUUUCAAUGUUUGCAUCCAAGAACCAGACUGGUAAAAUCAUAAUAUUUAAUUGGUCUUUUAUUGUUAGUUAUUUGGAUUCUUCGCAUUUUUAAUAUAAGGAGUGUUAUAACAAAUUAUUCACAAAGCUUUUCUGCCCCUCUGUUUAAGAUUCUUUUCUUUUUUUUAAUUUUUUUUUAACGUUUAUUUAUUUUUGAGACAGAGAGAGAGCAUGAACGGGGGAGGAGCAGAGAGAGAGGGAGACACAGAAUCGGAAGCAGGCUCCAGGCUCUGAGCUGUCAGCACAGAGCCCGACGCAGGGCUCCAACUCACGGACCGUGAGAUUGUGACCUGAGCUGAAGUCGGACGCUUAACCGACUGAGCCACCCAGGCGCCCCAAGAUUAUUUUCUUAAUGUGCAGGUUCAACUAAGUCUUACGGUAGAUCUUGCCACACAUUUUCAGAUGACUCUGCAACGUAUAAAAGAUAACGUUUCACCGAAUCUUUGCCUGGGUCACUUCUUGAACAACCGAUACAACAAACGAUACAAGUUACAAAUGAUUUAUCUCAGGAAGAAGAUUUUUUGCAUAUGCCCAUUUUUUUUAAGAUAACCAAGGCUUAUUAAACACCAAAGUUUAGAAAGCAUAACCACUUUUUGAUUACAGUCUUUCCAAAAUACACCACAUACUUCCUACCCUCCUCCAACCGGGGUCCCUCAUCCCCGGAGGCCUGGAGGAGAGAUGGUGGGUUUAUCUUGCCCUUGCACUUGAUUCCCGUGCUUUCCUCAGUGCUGGGGAAUUCGCUGCCCAGGGUGACCUCAAUAGCCUCCUGGUCAGAAGACAGAAACUCCUUCCUCUUCAACCCUUUCCACACUCUCUGGCUGGUACUUGCAUAGUCUCCAACCACUAAAAAGGUAAAACAGUUGAAUGUUGCUGUUGCAAACAGAUACCCAUGCUUGGAAAGUCAACCACCCGUUCAAAGGUGGAAGUCAGUGUCCUGGUGGGAAAGCUGGAGUGUGUUCCACUCUGUACGUUGGAGCAAACAACGUAGACAUUGUGACAGUCUAGUUUUCAACUCUCUGUGUCAUUUGUUUUCGUAGAAGUUUCCAAAAGUGUAAGAACAUUACAAUCAUGUUUCAAGAGAGAUUUCUGGGGGCUCUUUCCGGUAGAAAAAUGUCAUUCCAUUCUUCAGGAUCUCCAGGGAAACUGCAAUUUUCCUAAAUAAUCUAUGUUUUAAGAAAUGUCAUAAUUCUAUGUAAUCCUAAAGCCCCCUUCGUUAAAUGUUUAAAUCCAGUUUUUAUGAGUCAGUCUUUAAGGGACAUGGUUCCAGCUGCUUUCCUCUUUCAUACGGCAGUGUCAGUGUCCGUGUCCAUUAUUUGUUAUGCAAAAAUGAGGGGCUAGAUUCCCUUAAAAUAACUCUGCUGAAGGACAACUUUCACAAAUAGAAGCACUGUGCUCUGUUAUAUAGCAGACAUGCAAAACAAGUUAAUGUGGACUCAUAGACCUAACUGGAAAUGAGACAACCUGAUCUUUCAUACCAAACAAUAACAGCAGGAUUGCUACUCUUUCAAAAAUCAGAUUUUGCAGCAAAAAUGCUUACAGACAAAUGAUGAAAAGUAGUUCAAUAUUUAUCUUUUUGAAUAUUGUUCCAGUGCCAUUUGGGGAGGGCGGAAUUCUUUGGUUGAGAGAAUGGAUACAUAGGGAAGCGGGUAUAAAAAUUACAUUUUGGGGGCGCCCGGGUGGCUCGGUCGGUUAAGCAUCUGACUUCGGCUCAGGUCAUGAUCUCACGGUUCAUGGGUUUGAGCCCUGCUUCGGGCUCUGUGCUGACAGCUCAGAGCCUGGAGCCUGCUUUGGAUUCUAUGUCUCCUUCUCUCUCUGUCCCUCCCCUGCUUGUGCUCUGUCUCUCUCUGUCUCUCAAAAAUAAAUAAUUGUAAAAAAUUUUUUUUAAUUACAUUUUGAAUUCUAUGCAUUUUACUCACGAUAGAGUGAUAGUUUCAUACAUAGCGCAAAUCCAAAUAAAAAUCAAAUACAGGACAAGCUAGCACAUGCCAUCCAGAUUUAUUCCAUUCUAGUGUUAGAGACAUUGACUUAUUUUAACUCCAUUUGCUUAAAUUUAUUUUACUUUAUUGUGGUAAGAACAUUUAAUAUGAGAUCUACCUUCUUUUUUUUUUUUUAAGUUUAUUUAUUUAUUUUGAGAGUGAGAGAGAGAGAGCACAAGCAGAGAAGAAGCAGAGAGGGAGAGGGAGAGAGAGAAUCCCAAGCAGGCUCCACACUGCUAAUGGGUAGCCUGACGUGCGACUGGAUCUCACAAACCAUGAGAUCAUGACCUGAGCUGAAAUCAAGAGUUGGAUGCCCAACCGACUGAGCCACGCGGGCACCCUGAGAUCUACCUUCUUAACACACUUGUAAGUGUGCAAUACGUUAUCCUUGACUUACGUGUAAUGUAAGGCAGAACUCUAGAACGUAUUCAUCUUGCUUCACUGGAACUUUAUGCCCACUGAUUAGUAACACUUUUCCCCUUGUCCCCCAGCCCCUAGCAAGUCAUUUCACAUUUAGUUUCGCUUGACUGAAAUGAUGAUUAGUAAAUAGAAUACUUAUUUAGGUUUGUGCUUGCCAUAUGUAACAAAUUAUUUUUAGGUUAUGAAAGAGAAAGGAAGGCAAGAGGAAAGGUUUCUCAAGCCAGAGGCGAUUUCUCUGCUUCCCCCUUUCUAUUCCACGUGGAACAGCAUUGCCUGGGCCCAGCUCAGAUCUCUGGCAAGGACCGGGCUCGGGACGGGGAGGCAGGCAGGACUGACCAUUUCUGUUUCCCACGUUCAGCACAGCUCCUCAGGUUUACUUGUCAGAAGCCAGAAAAGAAGGCACAGGUGACUUCGUACGUCCCCUCUGCCUAACUGUAGCAAGCAGCGUAUUUAUUUUCUCGCUCAACAAUCUCAUUUUUAAUGGCAACAACUUGAUCUUCCAACUCUUUCAGCUGGUCAGCUUUUUCUUGUCUACUCAGAUUCAAAUCUUGGAUCUUCUUUUCUAAAUCUGAAACAAGAAAAUGAAGUACAGGAUGUAUUUGGUUUUGGUCUGGUUUGGAAUCUGGAUACCUGCCUUAUACCUCACACAGGGAUUUACGGGUUCUCUUAAAGAUGUAUUUAGCUUUGCGUUUUGAUUCCACGGACAAAACGUUUAUUUUCACCAGACUUCUUGAGGUUUUCACACAAAUCAGGGCAGAAAAGUUGAUAUUUUUGUCUAAAAAGUAGUUUCUAUCUAAUGGCAUUUAUCAAUGUCAGUCUAAAGCGAGUUAGAAUUCAUUAGAAAUGAAAAGACAAAUGAUGACCCUUGACUGGAUUUGGUGCAUAUUUCCAAAUGUUUGUUCUUGCUGUUUUAACUUCACUUUUUUUUUUUUUUUAAUUUUAAUGUUUAUUUUCGAGAGUGAGAGAGACAGAGGGUGAGUGGGGGAGGGGCAGAGAGCGAGGGAGACAGAGAAUCGGAAGCAGACCCCAGGCUCUGAGCUGUCAGCACAGAGCCCCAAAUGGGGCUGGAACUCACAAACCGUGAGAUCGUGACCUGAGCCGAAGUCAGGUGCUCAACUGACUGAACCACCCAGGCGCCCCUGAUGAGGAACUUCUUAAAGAAGGAAAAUAAAUGUCCUGCUUCACCUGGACAGAUCACACCUGGGUGAUCGGGUGGCUUGGGGGAAUUGUCACACUAGCCUGGAGCGUGUGUCUAGAGGAAGGAACCGGAGUGCUGAAGACAUCUGAAAUGUGGGUGUUUUUUGUCAUCCUGAGGAAACAGAAUGAAACCAGCAAGUGAAAGUUCCAGGAAGGAAGAUUUUGUCUGAUUUAUAAAGAACUUUCUAGCAGUCGCAGCUGUUCAAAGAAAGAGCUGUUAUGGAAGGUGGCGAGCAUUCUGUCUCUAGAAACUUAAAUACAGGUCACUUGGGAAUGAAAAGGAGAUCCAGCACUGGAAGGGGAUUUGUUCUAAAAGGAGAAAAGCCCCCUGUGUUUCCGCCACAUAAGUGAGUGAGGCUAUGCGGGUUACUCCUCGUUUGCCUGACCACAUCCAUUCUCCGUCCUGCUCUGUCCUGGAAAGCUGGCCUCAGUGGGUGACAUCAUCCGGCUCCCUUGAUCUCUGGGUCUCAUUCACACUUGGCCCUGGACAGUUCUGGGAAGUGAUGGGAGGGGGAGGGGGCGGGCGAGCAGACGGUCCCUGUGGAGAAGCAGGCUUCUGGCAGUUUCUGCAUCUGUCCACCCAGCCUGCAAAGGUGGCCCCCCCGCCUCUGGCUCCAGCCUUCAUAGAGCUACUUCAGGGCUCUGGCCCUCCUGCUUCCCCUGCCCCUUCAGGCCCAGGGACACUGAUGGCUUCUCAUUGCCGCCCGUCACCAGGUACCUCCACACCCUUAGCAGAUUCUCUGAAUUCCUGGGUGGUUUUUAGAGUUCCUUCUAUCAAGAAGCAGAGGCUAUCUGCCCUCCCCCCUCAAACCAGGUCCAGCACUGCAUGUUGUUUUGACCAGUAUGAAGGGAAAGAAACGUACAGGACCACAGGGGCCUUGCAGUUUCUGUGCUCAUUCUCAUGGAAUUCAAUACAAGCGGCCGUAAGGCAGCCUGGGAUAAAAGACCCUGGAGAAAACGGUCCAGCAUCUCAGUCAAGCCCGGCCCCGGGCAGACCAGCCAGCUGACCCAGGAGCUGAGAGCACCUGCUUGAAGAACUCAGGACAGACCCACAGAAUGGCCACCCAGAAAGCCACAGAAAAACAAUGCACGGCUGCUGUGUUAAGCCCUUAAAUUUGGGAGUGCUUUGUUACACAACAAAUAGAUAACAGAGCCCACUCUGUUUAUAAGUAUGCGAUCCAGGGGCAUCUGGGUGGCUCAGUCAGUUAAGCAUCUGAUUUCAGCUCAGGUCAUGGUCUUGCGGUUCAUGACUUUGAGCCCCGUGUCGGGCUCUGUGCUGACAGCUCAGACAGAGCCUGGAGCCUGCUUCAGAUUCUGUGUCUCCCUCUCUCUCUGCCCUUCCCCCACUCAUGCUCUGUCUCUCUCUCUCAGAAAUAAAUAAACAUUUAAAAUAUAUAUAUGUAUACAUAUAUAUAUGUAUACAUAUAUAUAUAUAUAUAUAUGAUCCAGAAUUCUAUCCAGGUGUGCUUCCUAUUUCUCGCUGGGACCCUGAAUGACACAAAAGACUAUAGAGGGACCCUGGCUGUGGACUGGGGUCCAUUCUCACUCAACCUUGACCCUGCCAACGUAAAUAAGGGCUCCCUUCUGGGGUCCCAUGGGCACUUCUUCCUAACAGGUACGACAAGAGCACAGCUGUUGGGGUUCAGACCCUUCUCGAGUGGCAGAAUCAGGAAGGUGUCCAAACCAAUGUCUUCUUUUCCUACCUUGUUGAGCUGUCAGAACAGCUCUCAAAACAGAGCCAAGAAAGUGGAGUGUGUUAUUUUAGACUUCUCUUAGAAGGCCCUUAACUUCUCUUCCAAGCGAAUUUCAAAAACUGUUGAGAGUUUGAGGCUAUGGGAAUACGUGGAAACAGUUUGGGCCUCAAUAUAAAACACAAGACAGAAAAUGUUCCUCCCACGUUUUUGCUCCUACAGUAAGGACCAAGUUGUGUGAAUACCAGCAACUGAUUUUCAUGGUAUUGCUUAUGGAGGGCACAAUAAAAACCGCUCUGUCUUUUUGACUCUUUCCUAGUUAAUUUCUUCUCAAAAUUGUUAGGAAAAUAUGGAAAGUGAAAACUGUGUAAAUUACAUAAACGUAAAAGAUGUAAAUUAUAUAAACAAUUACAUUAAUAGAAAAAGUAGCGUUUUCCUCUUUACUCUCCCCCUCCCCAGAGGUAACAGGGUGGGAUGUAUUUUUCCUGACUUUGGCCCACACCAAUGGUGUGUUCUCAUUUUUUUCCCUGUCAUAGUGGGAAUAUAAGUGAUUCUAAGGCCAAAGACUCAUUUUAUAACAAAGAAGCAUUAUACAGGAGGAGUCUCGGUUGUUUGAACAUUUUGAGAGUUAUUUACAUUCCAAAUGAAUAUGAUUCACUUUAAAGUUUUGGAGACAAUACAAAUACAACCAAAAGUGAAACUAGACCACUCAUCAUUUGGUAUUUCUUGAUGAUUUAGAAGCAGUUAAGGGCAUGAUGACUGCCUAGAAAAACCAUGAGUACAAGUUGUGGGGGAAGAAGAUUCUGAUGAACUUUCUGACUGUAUGCAUUCUAUAUUUACUACACUUUGUGCGCAUCUAAAUGUCCAUUUUUGAUCAAAAUCCUUGUCUGGACUACGAUUCCUUCUGGAAUGCUGCCUACAGAUCUCUAUAGGAUGACCAGUGCCUUGGGGUCUAGAUCAUAUGGACUCCAAAACAGUUAUUUGCAUGAGAGGAGAAAAUAGGAAGCAUAGGUUAGGACGGGGUAUUUCAAGUUUCUCAACAUCCACACUACUGAUUCUCUGGGUAAAAUAAUUGUUCACUGUGGGGCUGUCCUGUGCAUCAUGGAAUGUUUACCUGUGCCCCUGGCCCCCAUCCACUAGAUGCCGGUGGAACCCCCUAGGUGUGACAAGCAGAAAUGUUUUCAGACGUUUUUGUCCCCAGGGAAGGAGAUAAAAUCACCCUGGGUUGAGAAACAGUGGGUUCGGAAAAGGGCAUUUCAGGUUGACCAAAGGCCAUGCCAGUUUGUUCUGAUGAACACAGAAAUGGAGGCUCGAUGAUACCCUUUGAAGUAAAACCAUGCAAGUGGCUUGUUACACUGCGGUCCCCAAGGCACUGACCCAAUUCCUCCUUCCUUUCCUCAGUGGACUCAUAUGUGGUUGAACUGUGUCAUGAUCAAUUGGUAUACAUUCUACCAGGAAGGUGCGGCACUCUGUUAUUGUCACAUUGGUGGAGCAUGUGAUAGAAUGGAUAGAACUCCCAUAUAAUCCAGCAAUCCCCUUUCUGGGUAUCUCUCUGAAGGAAAUGAAAUCCGUAUCUCAAAGAGGAUAUUUGCAUUCCCAUGUUCAUUGCAGCAUUAUUCACAAUAAAUAAAAUAUGGAAACAACCUGAGUGUCCAUCAGUGAAUGAAGAAAAUGUGUGUGUGUGUGUGUGUGUGUGUGUGUGUGUGUGUGUGUGUGUAAUUCAGCCAUAAAAAAAGAAGGAAAUUCUGCCAUUUGCAACAACAUAGAUGAACCCGGAGGACAUUAUGCUAAGUGAAAAUAAGCUGGAGAGAGAAAGACAAAUACUAUAUGAUCUCACUCAUAGAUUCAUGUGGAAUCCAAAAAAAAAAAAAAAAAAAGCUGAACUCCUAGAAGCAGAGAGAAUGGUGGCUGCCAGGGUCUGGUGGGUUGGGGAAAUGGGGAGAGCUUGGUAAAAGGGUUCAGUUUUAAGAUGAAAACGUCUGGGGAUCGCAUGUUCAGUGUGGCGCUGUCUAGUUAAUAAUAUUCUAUUGCAUAUAUGAGUAGAUGUUAAACAUUCUUACCAUAAAAAGUAUGCGGGCUGCUGUUGAUUAACGUAAUUGUGGUGAUCAUUUUACAACAUAUAUGCCCAUCAAAUUGUCGCAGUGUACACUUUAAAUAUAGACAAUUUCACCUUCCACUUAGACCUCCAGAAAGCUACAAAAAAGGAAGAAAUACCUGCUAUUCUUCUUAUCUUGUCUUCUGUCUCUGUGGCCAGUUUUUCUGCCGCCUCUUUUAGCUGUUCCACUUUAUCUAAUGUUACCUUUGUCAGUCCUGUAGCACUUGUCUUAUGCUGAAGAGCAGCAUAUUGGUUGUUUAGCUCUGCAAACUCCUAUAACAGAGAAACGCUCCCAUCACCAGAAAAUAUUUAUAAAGCGUGUAUACGGGUGUGAUAUUUGCCUGAUACCGUUCACAAAAGGUGCAAGUGGAAACCAUGAUCUGAUCAAUAUGCUGGAGUCACCCUGAUAUUUCCAACAGGGCUUUUAUUUGCAAUGUUUUUUUUUAGACUGAAAAAAAUCCUCAGCUUUAGCUAAUUAAACAUAAAACUCCUUGGUUACAAAAUAGCAAUGUUAAUUCCAUGUUAAGGCAAUGAUUUAGGAAGCACCGAUUGUUUGUGCUAAACUAGCUAAGGUGAGAGAUACAGAGGACAGAACUGACGCAAUCCUGCCUUUGACAAAUCUUUGGUUUAGCUGGAUCAGACAGCUGCCUGUACAGGAUGAAGGGCAGAGUGAGUGGCAAAGAUUUAGUAGCAACGAUACAUUAUUUGGCUGGCAAAUACGUAAGAGAGAAAUGAGGCAGGAAGCGAAGUAUAUAUGUGUUAGUGUCCAGAGCUCCCUCAGUGUUAGAAUGGACAUCUCGGGGCGCCUGGGUGGCGCAGUCGGUUAAGCGUCCGACUUCAGCCAGGUCACGAUCUCGCGGUCCGUGAGUUCGAGCCCCGCGUCAGGCUCUGGGCUGAUGGCUCAGAGCCUGGAGCCUGUUUCCGAUUCUGUGUCUCCCUCUCUCUCUGCCCCUCCCCCGCUCAUGCUCUGUCUCUCUCUGUCCCAAAAAUAAAUAAACGUUGAAAAAAAAAAAAGAAUGGACAUCUCUGGGGUCAGCCCGCGUGGCUGACAGUCUAGAAUGUUAAAUAGAUGAGAGAAGGCCAGGAAGGGGCUAUGGAGAUGGGGAGGGGGUGGGCGGGAAGUACCUUUCUCCACUUCUGUUCAUAGAAAGUGUGCUCAAGUCCCAAGUGGGGGGCGGGCCGGGGGGGGGGAGUGACCCUGCCCAUUAGAAAUUAAAAGCAAGAGAACCGACUAAUUGUAAAAACACUUGAACAUCUUUCCUUUGUGUAAGCUACUCUAUUAAUGCAGCCGACCAGAGAUAUCCUGCUAAGAAAAUGAGUUGAUAGUUUCUUUCAGCAAACUAGAUUAGUAGGGUAUUUUCCACAACUGUUUAAUUAACUCACUCUGACUUUUGUAACAUGAUCUAUUCUCUUUGGCAGGUGACUUUCACUUGUUUUCAUUAUAGGUUAUGUGAUUUAUCUAGAGUAAAGGGUAAAUACGCCCAAGAUAGACCCACGGCACAGACUGUGAAUGUUUAGAAGGGAGGGAAAAAUAGACCAGGCAACCACUAGAAGUACUAGGAGGAGUAGAUGGGGGGAGGAAACACUCCUAGGACGGUCAAAGGACGUUUGUCUUCCCCGGAGACAGCCCUCCGCUGCAGAAGAGCCUUCAUGCCCAUGGGAAUCCCGACUAACACACACCACUGAGCAGGGUCCAGCACUAACGGAACUGCUGACAAAUGGCACCAUGAGGUGGGGUUAAAGGAUUAUCCUUCAAAGAAGCACUGUCUGCUCUUCGUGGCACUGGUGGGGCUACUGACCUGUUCGAGGCCCCCAGCCUGGCGUUGGGCCGAUGCAGCCUGAGCUCUCACGCGGGCCGCUCGCCCCCUGUUCCUUUGCAACGUGGUCCGCAGCUGGGAGAGUCCAGCUUCCAGCACCGACUGCUGCUUUGCUGAGUCCAGCUUGUUCUCGGUGUCCUUGGCUUCCUUUCCAGCCUGUUGUCGAUUGAAAGACCAGAAAGGAGAAAGUCUCUUCGUGUAACAAACCACACAAAGACAAAUGAUCGAAUUAUGCCCUUCAGAAAAUAAGCUAGGUGUGAAGGGAAAGUAAAUCAUUCCUUCAGUUUUUCAGUUCCACCCAAAACAAAGUUGUAAUAAAAUAUUCCUAGACAUACGCGCGGGCGUGAAAGCAAAUAUGACCCUUAUCUACGCACUUUCCAGCCCGUUUAAGAAUAAAGCGCUUGCCAGUGAGUGAAGACCCUCAUCCCAUCCCUUCUGUCCCCCUAAAGGGAACCACUCUCCUGAAUCUAAUAUGCGUCACCCCGUGUAUUUCUACAUGCUUUUUUACUAUUACAAAGUCGGUAUUUUUAACACCUGCGGUAUUUCUUUUUUUUUUUAACUGUAUGCAAAUAAAUGAUACUGUCUCUUUCUGCACCUUAAAUUUUUAAUUCAAAGUUAUGCUUGUAUACUUCAUCUUGGCUAGUUUGCAUAGCUCUUGUUUAUUCCGUUUUAGCAAUUUAAAGCAUUCCAUCGUUCGGAUAUACAAUUGAUAUUCCUAUUCUCCGGUUAUUUAUUGCAGGUGGCUUCUAAUUUUUUUCCCCCUUACAAACAAUAAUGAACAUCUUAUACUUGUUUCUUAUUUCCGUGACUACAUUUGUCAUAUAUAGAAGUCAAAUCUGACUGGUCAUCUGUUAUAUAUCCUUUUUAUUUAUUUAUUUUUUUAGAGUGAGAGAGCGUGAAUCGGGGAGAGGGGAGGAGAGAGAGUCUUACGCAGGCUUCAUGCUCAGCCCGGGGCUCAAUCCCACGACCCUGGGAUCAUGACCUAAGCCGAAAUUAAAAAUUAAGAGUUGGAUGCUCAACCGACUGAGCCGCCCAGACGCCCCUGUUAUCUCUUGUAUCUCAUUCUUUGGUCGUCCUUUCAUGCCUUCUUUGAUUUUCUCAAGCAUAAUAAACAUUAUGAUUUUGUAUUCUGUAUCCAAUGAUGGUAUAUCCCCAGUCUCUUGUGUUCUGAUUCUGUUGUUUACUAUUUCUGAUGACUCUUGCUUGAGGCAGGCAAUUUGUUCUUUUAUGUGUUUGGGGAGAAUUUUUUUGAGUCUUGGUUUUAAGGUGAAUUCCCUUGUUUGUCUCUGCCAGGCAUCUGAGGGCAGCCCAGGACCACCUUAAGGGACAUUUUCAGCUUGGGUUGUGGGGGGCCACACAGGUAGUGUGAAUCUGACCCUCAAAUUCCUGUGAAAGCCAGCUUGGGGGUAGAAAUUCUUAGUCAAGACUUUCCUUCGCUACAGCCCCAGUGUCUUACUGGGGCUGCCCUCCCAGGAUGUGUGUGUGUGUUGGGAGGGAGGGGUUUAACAUUUCACUGAGAAUGUUGCCUUUCCAUUUGGGGUCUUAUUCUCUCCUUGAAUGGGCUUUGUUUUCUGUCUCUUCUGCCUGGUGAGCAUUAAGACCAACAGCUCUCAUGCACCAGGGGUUGGCAGAUACACUCUGCCCGCCGUCAGGUUCAUGCUUUAUUACCUCUCUGGCGUCAGACUUCCCUGUCACUGUUGGCCUCUGAAGAGUUCAUUUCUUACUAAUUCAGCUGUGUAUUAAAAUUUAAAAAAAAAUCCUACGCAACAUUUUGGGUAUUUUUCUACUAGGAGGGCUCCUUGGGGUCCCGGAUGCACCAUAUUUGUAGAAAUAGAAGUCCCUUGUUGUGCCCUUGGACACACGAGGAAAUUUUUCUAGAGUACAAAUCUACGGACUGUUUCCGUAAAGGACCAGAUAGUAAAUGUUGUGUGCUCUGUCGUUCAUAAAGUCUUUAUUACAACUAUGCAACUCUGUGCCACGGUAGCACAAAAGCAGCCACCGACAGUGUGUGGCUGUAUUCCACUAAGACUUCAUGAUUUGGGAUAAAAAAAACAAAAACAAAAACAACAGUUAGUGAGCCCAUUUGGCCCGUGGGCUCUAUUUCGCCAUCCCCUGUUCUAGAGUAUAUGCCUCGAAGGGGAAAUCCUGGAGGCCUUCUUUGGUUUCUCUGCUGCCCAAUAUUUGCAACCGGUUCAUAUCCAACCCUUUUACUUCCUGGUGCACUGCUUCCUGUUCUGUCUGUUUCUGCUUUUCUUUUCAAAUUGCAUGUAUUUACCUAUAAAACCCGGCUGCAGAACAGAGACCGAGGAAGCAGCAUUCUAUGGAGAAGGGAAUAGACUGGAGAGUGGUGACUUGGAGGAAGACACUUCACACAGCUUGGGACUAGGUCCUGUCCUGUCCUCCAACUGCUAGGUUCCUCUCCCGGAUCCAUUCUGUGGGUUAAACCGUGGCUUUGCACCCUGUCCCGUGCUCUGGACGGGACGCUUUCUUUAGGGUAAGAUAUUCUUUCAGUCUUAGGAUAGUCUGAUGAGCUCUCAUGCAAAACCUGGCAGUUACAAAACCCUGGCAACAAUCAGCUUUAUUUCUUUGCCUCGUGAGCUUUCGCAAGUCUAUGGCUUUCCCUGGAAUCAGAAGGGAUUAAACUCCGGCCUCAAAUCUACCUUUAAUAGGCUGCGUGACCUUAGGCAGGUCACUUAACCUCCCUAAGUCUCAGUUUCCUCAUUUAUAAGCAGACAGUAGCACCUGCUUCUUCCCCCGGGAGGGGUCAAGAAUGAAUGAAGUGAUACUGUGAGAGCUCCAUAGAACAUUGGGGUGCCUGGAUGGCUCAGUUGGUUGAGCAUCUGACUUCGGCUCAGGUCAUGAUCUCACGGUUUGUGAGUUCAAGUCCUGCACUGGGCUCUCUACUCUCAGCACAGAGCCCAUGUCAGAUCCUCUGUCCUUCUCUUUCUGUCCCUCCCCAGCUCACGCUCUCUCUCUCUCAAAAAUAAAACAUUAAAAAAAAAAGAACAUCAAUUAAAUGCAUAAAACCACCAUCAUUUUAUUUUAUCCUAAAAUCAUCCCAUCAGAAGGGUUAGGCAAGCAUCACAUUGGCACACAAAAAAACCAUGCUGUGUCCACAUUCAAAAUUUUUUUCAGGUUAGUUUCAAAGAGGGUACAGAAAUACCUGCACAGUGUUCUUUUUAAUUUUUGUUAUCUCUGCAGUCAGCUGUGUGAUGGCAGAAUUUAUCCGUCCUUGGGUGGUUUGAACUUGUUGCAAUCUAUUCAGCGUUUUGUCAAGAUUUAAUAGAACAUUU
rnacentral:lncRNA from 1 species